rnacentral:rRNA from 1 species
GAAUGCUGACAUAAGUAACGAUAAAGCGGGUGAAAAGCCCGCUCGCCGGAAGACCAAGGGUUCCUGUCCAACGUUAAUCGGGGCAGGGUGAGUCGACCCCUAAGGCGAGGCCGAAAGGCGUAGUCGAUGGGAAACAGGUUAAUAUUCCUGUACUUGGUGUUACUGCGAAGGGGGGACGGAGAAGGCUAUGUUGGCCGGGCGACGGUUGUCCCGGUUUAAGCGUGUAGGCUGGUUUUCCAGGCAAAUCCGGAAAAUCAAGGCUGAGGCGUGAUGAC